CACCUUCACCAGCAUUGUGCCCGGCCUCCACUCCCACGUCUGCGCCGGCCUGACGUCACACCGCAUGGCCGCGCAGGAGGACGUCAGGUACGUCACUCGCACGGCGCCCGGUGAGAAGGAGCGCUGCGCUGGAUGGAGGAUGAGAAUGCGCUGACAUAGUGAGGAGACAUCUGGGCGUCACAUUCUGCAGAGAGAAGUUUUAGCUGGAUCAAGUCCUGGCGGAACCAACUCAUUCCUUCGAAGUGGGAGACAUAGUACUGGUAAAAGCACUGCGAGGAAACAAGUCACAGACUGACUUUUCCUACAGUCCCCCGACCUCUGUGGUAGCAGUAACUGUCACAGCUGUACUCACAGACAAUUCCCCUACCUGGAUCCAUGCCACUAGGAUCAAGCGCUACAAAAAGAAAGCAGUAAAAGGGGUAAUAACGGGAGCAGACAGCUCUGACCUGAAGACCAACCAGAGAUACUAAAGGGGGCAGACAGCCCUGACACCUGAAGAGCCAACCAGAGGUAUUAACAGGGGCAGACAGCUCUGACCUCCAUCUCCUAGUGAAGUUUGAAGAGUUCUGGAACCAUGUGGAAACUAUGCUGCCUGGCGCUCCCAUCAUGGUCAAUAACCUUAUUGACUAUUAGCUGCACUCAGGGGCAAGUAGGCAACACUUGGGAAGGCGGGAUACCUGUUCUAUGGUAUAACUCCACCUCCUCGAGUUGUUUCGUGGCUUAUUCCCCCUGCCUAAUGAACACAUGUCCUACUAUAGUAAGUGUUUAUAGCAAUAGGUAAAGUACUGUUGAUUGCUGCCUUUAUUGCCAUGUGUGUCCUCCCCUGUAUCCGAAAAAUCCUUUCUAAGAGUAUAAGUGAUCUUUCUAUGUAUCAAUCCCUUCUCACAGGACGCUCUUCGGAAGCCUACAAGUCGUACGUGCAGAAUUAUAAGAACACUCGGAAAUAGAACCAUGUUAUUUGAGAAAUAUUAUGGUUCUAAGAGGGGAUUGAAAGGUUAUAUCAGGGCAUGAUGUGAGUUGUAGUCAGUGAAAGGCUGCAAUAGAGUACUCCUUUAUUAUUGUUACAUUUUUUUCUUCUCUCUUUCUGUUAGUUCUCAGCCUUUUUCAAGGUCUUGUUCCUAAUAAUUUACUUUUCCCGUAACUAAAGUUGCUUGCUAAAGAAUUCAAACUAUCUGCUAAUUGGCUAGCUAUGUAUCCAGGAAAAAAGUAUGUAAAAUCAAAACAAUUAGAUCACCUUUUACUCGUGUCCACAUUUUAAUUGGUCAAUGUAAAUACGCCCGUAGCCUUUUUAUACUGAUGCUCAAUGCAAUAAAGUAGAGUCUG